GGGAUAACUCCGGGAAACCGGGGCUAAUACCGAAUAAUAUCGAAGAUUUCAUGAUCUUCUUUUGAAAGAUGGUUUCGGCUGUCACUGUAGGAUGGGCCCGCGGCGCAUUAGCUAGUUGGUGAGGUAACGGCUCACCAAGGCAACGAUGCGUAGCCGACCUGAGAGGGUGAUCGGCCACACUGGGACUGAGACACGGCCCAGACUCCUACGGGAGGCAGCAGUAGGGAAUCUUCCGCAAUGGACGAAAGUCUGACGGAGCAACGCCGCGUGAGUGAUGAAGGUUUUCGGAUCGUAAAACUCUGUUGUCAGGGAAGAACACGUACGGGAGUAACUGUCCGUACCUUGACGGUACCUGACCAGAAAGCCACGGCUAACUACGUGCCAGCAGCCGCGGUAAUACGUAGGUGGCAAGCGUUGUCCGGAAUUAUUGGGCGUAAAGCGCGCGCAGGCGGUCUUUUAAGUCUGAUGUGAAAGCCCACGGCUCAACCGUGGAAGGUCAU
rnacentral:rRNA from 1 species